rnacentral:lncRNA from 1 species
AUGUAUACUAGUCCUAAUGAUAUAAUGAUACAACAAUACAAUGAUAAUAACAAAAAUAUAUAUUUUAACAGUUUAAAAACAACAGAAAAUACAAAAGUUAGUAGUUUACCAAAUAUAAAGAUUGACCCUAAUCAGGUAACUGUUGAACAAACAAAUAGUAACAAAAAUAAUAGUAAUGGAAAUAAUGAUAUAUUAUACUUAAACACAGAUAAUAAGAGUUUGUUACAAAUGCCAUUGUCAACUGAAAAUGUAUCAGAUGGACAUGUAUCAAAUGGAAAUGUAUCAGUUAAAAAUGUACCAGAUGGAAAUAUACUAACUACAAAUAUAUUAUCCGGUUUUUCGUCAUCUGAUACUGCAAUGACAGAACCCAUAGCAAAUAAUAAACCUACUUACAACAAUAUUUCAAACUUAAAAACAGUUAGAUCGGAACCAAUUAUUAACAGUCAUAUGUAUAAUAGUAAAUUAUAUUCUAAUAAUAACGACAAUGUAGCAAAUUUUAGUACUCCUAUGAAUAUUAGUACUAAUCAGGGUACAAAUCCUGUUACUAAUUAUGUUUAUAAUUCUAGUGCUGUCCCAAUUUAUAAUUCUAGUGUUGUCCCAGUUUAUAAUUCUAGUGCUGUCCCAGUUUAUAAUUCUAGUGNNNNNNNNNNUGUCCCAGUUUAUAAUUCUAGUGCUGUCCCAGUUUAUAAUUCUAGUGCUGUCCCAUUUUAUAAUUCUAGUUCAGUCCCAGUUUAUAAUCCUAGUGCUAAUAAUAAUAUCCAUAACAACAAAAUAAAUAUCCCAAUAACACUUUCAAAUAUUUUAAAUAACAAUCAAAUAGAUGGAUUAUACCAUAAAUCAACUAGUACAAUUACUUUAGACAAUAAAACUAUGAAUAAUCUUGAUCAUAAUGAAUAUAUAUUUAAUAAUAAUAUAAUAAAACAAAAAAACAUAUCUGUCCCUAAUAAUAUAAACCAACAAAUAACAACAGAUAGUUUGUCAAAUAAUAACAUAAAUAAUAUAAAACCAUCAAACAGUUGCUAUAACAAUAAUAACAUUGUUCAGGAUAAUUACAAUAUACCAAAUACAAAUAGUUAUAGUAAUUGUAUUGAUUUAUAUAAUAACAUUAUUCCUCCUUCAGUAAAUAAUAACAUUAAUAGCAUUAAUAGCAGUUAUAAUUCUUUUUAUAAUCAACCUUUAAAUGAUACAAAAAGUAUUAUACAACCAAACUUAUUAUAUAACAAUAAUAUGAAGCCAUAUGUAUUUGUUGAUAAUAACCUGAACAAAUAA